CUGCUGCAUUCUUGCCCACUCAAAUGACUCUACUGGAAACUGGCAAAGGAAAAUUCUAUUACUGGGAAAAGCCAUAAAUAUUUCACUCAAUUAUCAAAUUUGGGAUGGAAAAUUGGUCCUAAGUAAGAAUAAAUACGAAUUCCUAGACAGUGAAAAAUAGUUUUGCUGGUUUGGUAGAGGUCUUAAAAGAUCAAAAUUGGAAAAAUGAGGAUAGCUCUAGGUGAGUAGGCACAAAGUGUGUGGAUUUUUGUAUCUCACAUCAGUGUCCACCUGAGACCAAAGCCAUGGAAUCCCUUUUAUUAAGAUGACUAUUUGGAACCGCCAUCUAAAUCACCUUUGAAGAGCUACAAAACUUAUGUAAAAUAGAGUUGGAAAGACUGUUGACGUACGUUUAAGAAGAAAUAGAUUUGUCACGGAAAAGAAAUGAGAGCACCUUCAAGUAUCUGCAAAACCAACAUGUUGAAAUGCAAAAUCAGCAACCAGAAGAUUUCAAAGGAAAGGUCACUGUUCUCUCAGUCAAACUGGAAACUCCACCUAAAAGAGGCAAAUUCUUGCUCUCCACUUCUCCAUUUUCCACUAUACUGGUUUAUGGUAGCUCUGCAUAUGAUAAACAAAGGGAAGUAUGCUACAACAAUUAUCUGUCCCUUCUUUGCUUCUUUUGUGCUUUCCAUUCAGAGAAUAUUUAGCCAUUUGUUAGCAAAUAUUUGUUGAAUUUCCCUGGAAUGAAGAAGGAGUAGCUACAGAAAGUAAAUCAAGAAGGAUAUCUUUGACUGUUUUUUUACUGCUAGGCUUAUAGGUAAUCAACUUCAAAAGAUAAUAUAAUGAAAAGAAAAAUUAUGCCUGUUUAUGGUUUUGGAGUUCUAUCAAGAUAU